GAAUUAAAACUAAUUUUCGUUGGGAGAGUUUCUCGAAUAAGAAGAACCGGUGGGGACAUUCAUAUGUGUGAUCAAGCUCACAAGCUUCAGACUGUGACGACCACAUGAAAUUGAGAAAAUUAAUGAGUAAAUAACUUAGGAUUUAUUUACUUUUUGGGAUGUCGUAUCCACUGUAAAAGCGUGCAGAGAUGGCACGAGUUAUUUAGUAAUCGGAACUACUCGAAGCGAAACAGCAAACGGAUCAUCUGAAGCGAAGCGGAAGAAGGGAAUUAAGAAUUUUAAAGUGCUCUGAGGAAAUCGCCGGACUUCCGCCCUCCACUGGGCAUGGCGGGCGGGGCAUGUCGGAGUCGAACCACAACUAAAACCUCCUAUCGCUCAACAACCAAUAACCAAACCUCGCAUGAGACAGAACUCAUAAAAAGGCAAAGGGGGAAAGUGAAGCGCUGAGUGCAGAGUACAUCUCUCCCAUCACCCUCGCCCUCGGGACGCCGGACCGGCGGUGGUCAGCGCCACAAAACCAGCCCUCUCGGUCGGGAGGCUAUCCGAAGCCCGCCUAGAUGGACCGGUUAGAAUGGAUUAACCUACGGAACACCCCGCUGGGUCAAAACCAGCGUGGGUCGAGGAUAGCCGGCCUUCCAUCACUCGGAUGCUCUUACGUGAAAAGCAGCUUGCACGUCGUCUUUUAGGCCCCCUUCGCCAGUCCCCAGACCGACAUGUGAGGGGACCCGAAACACUUAGAGGGCCAGGGCUUGGGCAAAAUCUGCCUCCCUGGCCCCCGCUCGACGGCGGCGGGCCUGUGCGUCUCUCAUGCGGCCCCGCCGCCUCCUUCUGCGAGAUGGUGCACUCGCCGAAGUUGAGCAUCGCCUUCUACAACUCGUCGUCACCGAGCAUCGAUGCCAUAACAUUCAGCAACAACAAGUCGUUUCCUAUUUUUACAGAGAGGCUACUGGGUAAUUUUUACACUAAAUAAAAACAAAAAUUACCAUAAAUAA